rnacentral:rRNA from 1 species
CAUGUAGGCGGAUUAAUAAGUUUGAAGUGAAAUCCUAUAGCUUAACUAUAGAACUGCUUUGAAAACUGUUAAUCUAGAAUGUGGGAGAGGUAGAUGGAAUUUCUGGUGUAGGGUAAAAUCCGUAGAGAUCAGAAGGAAUACCGAUUGCGAAGGCGAUCUACUGGAACAUUAUUGACGCUGAGGAGCGAAAGCGUGGGGAGCGAACA